rnacentral:rRNA from 1 species
GACGAACGCUGGCGGCGUGCCUAAUACAUGCAAGUCGAGCGAGCGGAACCAGCAGAUCUGCUUCGGCAGUGACGCUGGGAAAGCGAGCGGCGGAUGGGUGAGUAACACGUGGGGAACCUGCCCCAAAGUCUGGGAUACCACUUGGAAACAGGUGCUAAUACCGGAUAAGAAAGCAGAUCGCAUGAUCAGCUUUUAAAAGGCGGCGUAAGCUGUCGCUAUGGGAUGGCCCCGCGGUGCAUUAGCUAGUUGGUAGAGUAACGGCCUACCAAGGCAAUGAUGCAUAGCCGAGUCGAGAGACUGAUCGGCCACAUUGGGACUGAGACACGGCCCAAACUCCUACGGGAGGCAGCAGUAGGGAAUCUUCCACAAUGGACGCAAGUCUGAUGGAGCAACGCCGCGUGAGUGAAGAAGGUUUUCGGAUCGUAAAGCUCUGUUGUUGGUGAAGAAGGAUAGAGGUAGUUUU